UACGAAGGGGGCUAGCGUUGCUCGGAAUUACUGGGCGUAAAGGGAGCGUAGGCGGAUAGUUUAGUCAGAGGUGAAAGCCCAGGGCUCAACCCUGGAAUUGCCUUUGAUACUGGCUAUCUUGAGUGUGGGAGAGGUUAGCGGAACUCCGAGUGUAGAGGUGAAAUUCGUAGAUAUUCGGAAGAACACCAGUGGCGAAGGCGGCUAACUGGCCCAUUACUGACGCUGAGGUGCGAAAGCGUGGGGAGCAAACAGG
rnacentral:rRNA from 1 species